rnacentral:rRNA from 1 species
UCAGACGAUGCGUCAUGCAUAUCAAUAAGCGGAGGAAAAGAAACUAACAAGGAUUCCCUUGGUAACGGCGAGUGAAGCGGGAAGAGCUCAAAUUUGAAAUCUUCAAGGUUUUACCUUGACGAAUUGUAGUUUAAAGAAGUGUUUUCUGCUGAAGUUUUGGUAAAAGUUCUUUGGAAUAGGACAUCAUAGAGGGUGAGAAUCCCGUAUUUGACCAUUAUUUUCAACUUUGUGAUACACUUUCAAAGAGUCGGAUUGUUUGGGAAUGCAGUCCAAAAUGGGUGGUAAAUUUCAUCUAAAGCUAAAUAUUGGCGAGAGACCGAUAGCGAACAAGUACCGUGAGGGAAAGAUGAAAAGAACUUUGAAAAGAGAGUUAAACAGUACGUGAAAUUGUCAAAAGGGAAGCGUUUGACACCAGUGUUGUUUUCUCGAAAAUCAAUUAAAAAUGGCUCGAUUUUGUAUUGUUUGAGACCUUAAAAGCUCACUGUACAUUUUUCGUGUCUUUUUUAAUGCACUUUUCGUUUAACAAGUCAACAUCAGUUUCUUUUGUUGUAAAAGGGUCAUUGGAAGGUGGCUUUCUUUUCGGAGAAAGUGUUUAUAGCCUUUGGCCUCUGCAAUCGGAGAGACUGAGGUCUGCAGCGUAGACUCUUCGGGGUUAGAUACAUUUGUGCUAAGUUAUAGCUUUUUAUAGACAACUUGUUGACUAUAAUUAGUCUUGUAGCUUACUCGCUUAUGCUAUUUUACCUACGCUUAGGAUGUUGACUGAUAUGUAGUCGUA